ACAGCAGUAGCCGCGGGAAAACGUAGGUGGCAAGCGUUGUCCGGAAUUAUUGGGCGUAAAGGGCUCGCAGGCGGUUUCUUAAGUCUGAUGUGAAAGCCCCCGGCUCAACCGGGGAGGGUCAUUGGAAACUGGGAAACUUGAGUGCAGAAGAGGAGAGUGGAAUUCCACGUGUAGCGGUGAAAUGCGUAGAGAUGUGGAGGAACACCAGUGGCGAAGGCGACUCUCAGGUCUGUAACUGACGCUGAGGAGCGAAAGCGUGGGGAGCGAACAGGAUUAGAUACCCCUGUAGUCCCUGUCUCUUAUAC
rnacentral:rRNA from 1 species